rnacentral:lncRNA from 1 species
AGUUUGUCCCCUGGAUAAUGGCAAGGAUGAAAGAUAUAGAAGGUAUGUAGAACUAAUUUGAAAGUUCUUGUUCCCAAUCCUGACAAUCCUUGGGUGUGAUGCAUUUUUCUUUCUCUUAACCACAGGUGAGCCUGCCACCCCACAUCUCCAGGUGGAGGCCUGGCCAGAAGGAGGCCUAAAAUCUCAAAAUUCAUUUUGGUUCAGCCAUCUGGAUUUGCUUUUUCAAUUUACAUGACUAAAAUCAUGAAGACACUGACUACAUCACUGAGCACACUGCUCCCUCAGUUCUCCUAUGGUUGUCCUCUUGGGCCAAAAUACAACACUGCAACCUGGCAAAACAAUCAGAUGGUCUGCCUGAGUAAAGGAGCAUUUGCCAUUGGUAAUCUGACCCUUUGCUGAGAAAACAGAAAAAGUUAUGUGUACCUGGCCAGCUCUGAACUAUUUUGUUGUUCUUGAUGCUAUCAAUAGCCUUGAUGUCUAGGUGCCCUUGAGUUAUAUCAUAUAUAAUGGUUGAGGCUGCAAUUUCUAGGUAACCCUGCCCGUGUGUAUUCACCAAAUCAAGGUAAUGAUGAUCCCAAACAGGUUCAAAAUAUAUACAGACAAGAAUAACCUGUAUACAUUCAGAUUUUAUGUUUGUAUGCGGGAGAUCAUGGACCAAAAUAUUUCUCUCGAUGGGGGUAGGGACUGCUUUCUGGCCCGUGUAUUACUCCCUUGUACUUAUUGGCAAUGACACUUAAAGAGCAACAGAUUAGUUGCAACUCUCUUGUAUGGGUAAUAAUGAAUAAAAGACUUGGCCUCAGACUGCAACCUGGCUGCGUAAAAUAUGACUUACUGAUCCUGCUAAAACAUAUUCAUUAUUGACUGAUUUUGGGAUUCUGGGGAUAUAGUUGAGGCCAAUACUGUGGGUUGGAAUCCUACUGUUUGACAGAUUGUUAAUUAAAUGCUUUGUAAAAAUUGAAUGGGUUUGGUUGCAGCCUCUGCCAGUCAGAUUAAUCAGAGUGACCAAUGUAGUACAUUAAAAAAUUUUCUAGAAGCCAAGUCAUAUUAGGACCAAAUGGAGGAAAUGGUUGGGAGAUAUUCCUGGGUCUUCUGCAUUCCUUGACUUGCUGGACGUGCCAAGUAGACCCUGUCUGCUCUUUAUCUGGGCCAUUUUUCAGGGUUGCAUUACUAAAGAGAUUAUAU